UCUGAAUUAUGAAUUCCAAUCGUUGUCUUGUGGUGAAUAGUAGUGAACAUUAGUAGUUCAAGCCAUUUAAAAUCCCGUUGCAAUUUGUGAGUUAGCACUCUCGAAAGAUCGUCUUAUUGUCAGUUCUUCAAGUGCAUAAUUGUAGAGGAAAAAACUUGUAAUUUUGGUCACCGGUUUCAUUGAGUAACUGUCGCAGCAGCACCGACAGCAGUAGUAGUGAAAUUCCCACAUCGAACCUUACCACCGAGGAAUGCGAACCCAGCAAUGUUCAACAACCGAAGCGAAGUGGAUUUGCAAAAGCCUUUGAAAAGUACACUGCACCUAUUGUCGAAGCUCCUGAAGUACCCAAAACUUUUGCUUCUCUGCUCCGUCAUUCAAAGUUCAUCGAUCUAGGCGAUCCAAAGGGACAGGUUGUGUUUGGGAAAAUAUUCCACGUAGUUGACGAUGACCUGUACAUAGACUUUGGAUGGAAAUUUCAUUGCGUAUGCACACGGCCUGCAAAAAAUGGAGAGAACUAUGUCGAAGGUACCGCAGUCCGAAUCCGAAUAAAUGAUCUCGAGUUAUCGACACGGUUUCUGGGCUCAUCGUCAGAUCUUACCAUUUUAGAAGCUGACUGCACACUCCUAGGUAUAGCCUCUUCCAUUUCACAGAAACAAGAGAACAAAUCUACUACAGCUGCAACAGUGUAGCAUUAGCACCUCAGUUUUCAUGAUGCACCAUUGGUCUUGUAACAUCAGUUUCAUAUUAAUCUGUGAAUCGGACACAUCGACGUGGAAACUUGUAAAGUAGAACUUACUAUGACCGAAUCAAAGACAAUGCACAUAGGUUAUCUUUCAGGAUGGUUCAAUUUCAAACAUAAUUCGAACUUUUGAAAUACACUAAUGAGAUGUCAAUCUGUACCAUACUUAUAACUCAUGUUGAAAGCUAAUCUUAACUUUGUGACGCUUGUUAUUUAUUGAAUUUUUUUUCUGAAUUGAUCAAUGAUCUAAAUUUAAAUACUUCGAACUUUAAAUCUUCAAAUAUUUGGGCAAAAACGAAAACUUAUUUUUACAAGCUACAGCUCUUUGCGCUGAAAUAUAUUUCCAUUGUUAAUAAUUAUUUCACCGCUGUAAUUGCUACUUAUGUUGCGCCAUUAUCGACUUAUGAAAAGUAGAUUUUGUACUUUCUAUUGAAAAGUGCAUCGCAAGACGACAACAAGUUUUGUUUGUGUUUCCUUGAAAACAAUGUACAUAGACAUAAAGAUUAGUGUAGAAAUAUUGUACCAAGAGAAGUGUACGUUGAUUUUCUUAACCCUUCAUUUUCCAAUUACUCUAGGUGCAAGGAUUUUUAAAGGCUUAAUAAUUUUGUGAUGAUGUGGGCUUCCUUGAGCUCCUUAAAUGCGCUAGUGUAGCAACUGGCAUAUUUGCUUUGGCAGUUACUGUCCUCGGA
rnacentral:misc_RNA from 1 species